rnacentral:lncRNA from 13 species
CACAGAAUUACAGAUAUACUCAACUAUUUCAGGAUUUACUAAAAGUACAAGAGAUUGUGUUGAAUUUUUAUUAAAUAGAGUUUAUAAAUCAAAUUGAACAUUCUCCAAUUCUGGGCUGUGUUUCCAUAGGUUUACAAUCUAUAGGUAGUGAAAUGCUCACCUAUACUUUAGGAAAUAAAAACCACAACAUUUUGCAAAGAUUGAAUAAAUGAUCAUUCGAAGCAAAAGCAUGCAGUUCAAAAGCUAAACCUCCCAUUGGAGAACAGAAAAUUUAAUGAGCUUUUAAUGGAAUGCAAUGCUCAGAGUAGUAAAUUAUUUGUUAGUUGACGAUGCAAUCAGCAUGCUGAUUAAGGUUGCUUGGUUUUUUACUAAACAUUAACUGAAUGAAAACGGGUAGUCCUUGUUCUGCUUGGGGGGCUUUAAGGAAGCAAAUGGACUUUCAGAACAGAGAUUGUCAAUAAAGACUAUGUGAGAAGGGAUCCAAAAUCAAGCAGUUUGGAAGCUGAUACACAAAGAGUUUGCCCUGUUCUUGGCUUCCUAGAACUGGGGACUCUUUUGCUGGAAAAACUCAAAAGGGCCUUUUGGUGUUGAGAUGAAGAUCUCUGUCCAAGGAAUACCCAGCUCCAGUUCUGGAUAUGUCCUCUGAGAAGGUGCUCAUGACACCAUCCACACCAGAAGUUGAAGCAGAUACUGAGGGAAGGUUCCACGGCAGCUGAGUGUGGACAAACUAAUCACUGAAUUUCCUUGAUGCAGAGCUGAUAACCUCUCUGGAGUUGGAUGGAGGCCUGUG